CUUGAAGAGCUUUUCUUGCUCGGGUUCCCGUUUAGUCGCCUAGGGUUCAGCCCUCAUCACUGCCAGUCGGUCUUCCCUUACCCCUUCGGGCUAGGGAGGGCUUCCCUUCCCCUAACCCAAUAUGGAUUCUCUCCUUUUACCAGUGUUGAGUUGUAAAUAGUUAAUUUUGGAUUGUAUUUUGUAGCUGGGUGAAUAAUGUUUUUAGGGUUUUAUUUGAGCUGCUCAUCUAUGUUUCUUAUUAUGCUUGGUUCUAUGUUGUAAGUCUCUGAAGCUCAAGCAUCAACGCUUUCUCCAAGUUCAAACAGCGAGAGGAAACACUACUUGGAGAGGAUGGUAUUUCGUCGGGUUCGAAGUUAGCCCGUAAGGUGCAAAUGGGCCACCAAUAAGCUAUGCCACCUCCUUACUAGACUGGAUUUGUGAUGCUCUGAGAUUUAUUGUGUUCCCUUGGCCUGGGGAUAAAGCGAUCAUUUGUUUUUAUAAUGCUAUGGAAGAUGACAGAGGUGAAGAUGUUUUCUCAUACUUCUUUUGGUUUUUAAGGCAUUUUUUGUGACAAAAGUUGGGCGGUCCUCUGUUUUUUCAUUUUGCUUGGCUCUUCAAGUCAUCUCCAGCAAUUGACGAGGGGUAGUCUAGUUAGCGAUGCUCUGUUGCUUAUUGCUCUUGCAAGUCAUUGAUUUUGGGUUAUUCUUACUGCUACAGUUUAUAGGGUUUCUGUUCUUGUUGCUGUGUCUGUCCUAGUUUGGGCUUAGAUGGAGUCUAUUUGUUUCGUAAUUGGAACUCUUUUGUAAUGGGCCUCUGGC
rnacentral:misc_RNA from 1 species